AAGUCGUAACAAGGUAACCGUAGGUGAACCUGCGGUUGGAUCAUUACAAAAUCUAACCGAGCGUGGGUCGCAAGACUCGCUGCUCAAUCACACCUUGUGAACUAUUGAACUGUCUUUGGUAGUUGGUCGAGACUUUGGUCGAAGCUGGCUACCAAAACAUGACAAACUCAUUAUUAUUCAACUGAAUUUUUCAUGUAAAUGAAAAAACAACUUUCAACAACGGAUCUCUUGGCUCUC
rnacentral:misc_RNA from 1 species